UUCUCAACUUUGUAUUCCUCCCAAGUUCUCUCUCUAAAUUCAGACCCAUCAUCUAUUCCCUCUCUAUCUCGCGACUCUCGAUUUCUCUUCAUCUUGUUGAAACCCAAAGCACCAAAACUGUGAAAUUUUAAAAUUUUUGAGAUUUGCUUGGUCAACUGCUAAUGGGAGGGGUAGAGAUAGGCUUCUAGAGAGAUUUCAGAGGUUCGUGGUCUAUAUAUUAUAUGAGAUUUGGUGCUCAAGCCCUCUAAUAAACAUAGACCCAGGUCUCUGAUGUCGUUCCUCAGCACUUUUUAUUAUUAUUUGCAGUCCAGAUCUGUAAUAGAAUCCUUAAGUUAGUAAAGGAAAUUUUUACCCAUUAUGCACAGAUCUGUGAUAGAAUCCUCAGCACCAAUGAGCUCAGCAAACCUCUACCUCCACCCUUUUUGAAGCACCAAAUUUCACAGUAGAACCUCAAGACCCGAGUGGGAAUCAAUGCAAGCGAAAGUUGAGAAAAGUUGGCAUUAGAAGAAGAAUCAAAAGAUGACCCAAAGUUCUGCUUUUUCUCCUACCCACAAAAAAACAUAGAUAUGAGACCCACGAAGACGACCCCUCUACUAAUUUCAUUUUGGUGUUGGUUUCUAUCUUCUUCACCUCCUCUGAUUUUUUUUUUCUUCCAUUCACGUCCUCUGAUUUAUUUGCUUUUGAGUCUCACGGGGUGACAAAGCGCGGUGCACGGUGGCAUCGUGACAAGUGGCGACUGAAGCAAGUGAGGGAGGUCGGCAGCCACGAAGACUGUAAUAUGAAAUAGGGAGAUGAGAGAGACCGAGGGAAAGUGAGACACAGGAGGAGCGAGAAAAGAAACCGACCGGCGAGGAACAACGAUGGCUACAGCUUGUUGCAUACAACGGAAACAGAAAUUGCAGAAGAGAGAGAGGCGUGGAGCUGCUGAUUACACGGUUUCUUAUUAUGAUGGAUUUGAGGCGGAAAAUCCCUCUCUUACCUGCUGUUGAGCAGUGUAUAGCGAUGUUACUGAUUGCUGAACGUGUCAGUGGUGCCGGCGUCACAGACGAUAGACUUACAAAUGAUGUACAACGUGCAGGGAUGGGACCCGUACUCCUACGCAUUCGAGGCGGAUGAGGAAGAGGUGAGUUUGGUUUUUAGGAAUCUGGGCAUGGAGGAUGACCCUGCUUGUGGGCCCAUCAUUGACGAUAUUGCCAUCAAAAAGCUCUUCACUUUCGAUAGACCCAAAGAUAUCCCUUUCUUUGCCUCUCUCUCAUCUUUGGCAGGACAAAAGUCAAAAAUCUAAACUUAAAAGCUAAAGCUGGACGGUGGUUGGAAUAAUUUUCGGAUCUCAUUUUUAUCUAAAUAUAUUUUUUAAAUUUA